rnacentral:rRNA from 1 species
UACGUAGGGGGCAAGCGUUGUCCGGAUUUAUUGGGCGUAAAGAGCGUGUAGGCGGCUUGGAAGGUCAGCUGUGAAAACUCGAGGCUCAACCUCGAGACGUCGGUUGAAACCACCUGGCUAGAGUCCGGAAGAGGAGAGUGGAAUUCCCGGUGUAGCGGUGAAAUGCGUAGAUAUCGGAAGGAACAUCAGUGGCGAAAGCGGCUUCCUGGACCAGUACCGACGUUCAGGCACGAAAGCGUGGGGAGCAAACAGG